GGGGGAGGAGCCCCGAGCCAGGGUCCAGUUACCUGGUGACCCUGGGAGAAGGCUCUGGACAAAGGGGAAGGGUCACGAGGUGAUGGACACAUCACCUGGGAGGAGACAGGGGGAUGAGUCAGGGAUUUUGGGGUUUGAUGGACAUACAGGUGCUGAUGGGAAAGCUGGGAUGAAGCAAACGGAUACAAAGAGGGGAUAUGGAGGGACAAACCAUUAUGAGGGGAUAUACAGGGCGAGCACAACUCCACACUGAUGUGUCUACAUGUGGGCCCCUCUGAAGCAGGAAGUCCUUGAGGCGCUGGGCGUGUGCAGAGAAGGACACGGGAGCUGGGGAAGGGUGUGGAGCCCAAGGCCAAGGAGGAGGUGCUCAGGGUGUUUCAGCCUGGACAAUGGGAGGCUCGUGAGGGACUUUCAGGCACACUUCCAUAGAUCCAUAUGUGACAGUGCUCAUCACCAUGGCUGUUCCCCUGCCAAACAUGCCCUCACUGCCUCCAAGUGUUGUAGCCACCUGAGGAGGGGACACUUUUGACUUGGUUUGACUUGGUUUGACUUGGUUUGUUAGGAGGUAAAGCCCUGUUGAUUUUCUCAUUUUCCAACAAGCACAGAUGCUUCUUCACAACGUUUCCUGCCCUUUCCUUGCACUGGUUGGGAUUCUGAUCCAGUUUGAGUUUUCCAUGUCUGCCGCAGCAACAGCAAAGGCCUUGCUGGCUAUUUCCUACUUUUGCAUUUCAGGGCUUUAAAGAGCCAAAAGCUCCUUUGUGCCAAGGCACAGUUGCUUGCUGACGGCAGCCAGGAAGGACUGUCAAAUACAUAGAGUGCAUCAAAUAGAGUUCUGUUGAGUUAGCCCAUUUUAAUCUGGUCAGAGUGACUUAGAAUCGCAUUGCUAACAAAGUGGAGAAUUUUUCCUUUUAAGAGGUGGUUGUGGAUCCGAGGAGAAACGAGAUUAUAAAUGAUAGGUAACGGCUUGUCCUUCAUGCUUCUCUCUUGCCACAGAUGACAGAGACACCAGCAGUGUCUGCCCUGGCUCCCUCUCCUCCUGGUGAACAAGCCAAAGAGGAGCAAAUUGAGGAGUAUGACCUUGAGGCUCAAUCAGGGGUCACACCAGAGCCCGAAUCUUCAGAGGCAAUGACAGAGGCAACGACAGUGUCUGCCUUGGCUCCCUCUGCUCCUUGUGAAGAAGCCAAAGAGGAGCAAAUUGAGGAGUAUGACCUCGAGGCUCCAUUAGUGGUCACGCCUGAGCCUGAAUCUCCUGAGCCAAUGACAGAGGAAACAACAGUGUCUGCCCUGGCUCCCUCUCCUCCUGGUGAAGCCGAAGAGGAAAAAAUUGAGGAGUAUGACCGCGAGGCUCCAUCAGUGGUCACACCUGAGCCUGAAUCUUCUGAGCCAAUGACAGAGACACCAGCAGUGUCUGCCCUGGCUCCCUCUCCUCCUGGAGAAGAAGCCAGAGAGGAGCAAAUUGAGGAGUAUGACCUUGAGGCUCAAUCAGGGGUCACACCAGAGCCCGAAUCUUCAGAGGCAGUAAGUGCCCUUUGUGGGUGGAGCUGUCUUUAGUGCAAGGCA
ensembl:lncRNA